AUGGCCAAGAAGAAGAAGGGCAAGGCGCCAAGGAAGCCGCGGUCGGAGUGCACGCCGGAGGAGAUCGCCAAGUUGGACGCGGAAUCGGCGAAGAGGAGGGGCCGGAGGGCGGUCGCCAAGUACAACGUCGCCGCAGCCAAGAGAGCCGCCGACCGUGCUGCGAUUGAGGCCGCGCGGCACAAGGCCGAGGUCGAUGAGAAGGAGGCCAUCGUCAUCAAAGCGCACGACCUUCUCAUGGCUGGCAUUUGUCGUCCGCUAGGUUUCUCUGGAGGGGCCGUCGGUCCGGCGAGCACAGGGUCGUCGAUCGCCCGGCCUCCACACUGCCAGUCACCGACGUCGUGGACCACGCCCUUGUCGCCCGGCUUUCCUCCGCCAAGGCACGACGGCCAGACCCGUUUCUCAGGGUCGCCGGACGUUGGCAUGUUCGCGCCGUCCACACCACGACCCUCGACCGUCAUCGACCUCAACGUCACGCCUGGGUCUAGCAGCGGCGGCUGGCCGUCCGUCGAGAUGCAAAGAAAGCAAGCACGGGCGCCGUUCACGGGCACCAUGCCGUCGCCCCGCGUCUUGUUUGACGGAAUGCCAACACCAACGCCACCGGUCGACGACCCCUUCUACAACCAGUUCAUGGAGGACGUGAUCUUCGAGGCUGGUCAAGGCCGUUCCUACAACCCCGAGGAGACCCAAAGUCAGGAUGGCCGCGCCCAGUACGUCCCCGAUGAAGAGGCCGGCAACCGUGCUGACUACGACCAUGGUGACUCGUGGCAUGAAGACGAUGACAUCUAUGUCGAAGGUGAUGGUGAUGAAGAAGAAAUCAAUGACGUUGAUAUUAGUGGCGAGCCUUUGUUCAUCGACGAGCUGACACAAAGAGCGGAAGCACAAAAGAAGAGGAAGAGCAUUCGCACGGGUUCAUACACACAAGAUGAGGACAAGUUGAUUUGCCAAGCUUGGAUGGAGAUUAGCCAAGAUCCGAGGACCGGCGCGCAACAAAAGGGUAUUGUUUUUUGGACGAGAGUCCAUGAAACAUUCCAUGAAAGGAAGUUGUUUGAGCCCUACCAAUUUGAAAGCAACCGUGGCAUCGGCUCGAUUCAAAAGAGAUGGUUGUUCAUCCAACAAGAGUGUAACAAGUAUCAAGCCGCAUUCGAGAGCGUUGAAGCACGGCCCGUGAGUGGUCUCGGCGUUGGGGACACGGCAUUUCAAUCUUUGGAGGCAUUCAAGGCCUGGCACAAUGACAAGCCGUUCACUCUUACGCAUUGUUGGACUAUGAUCAACAAUUGCCCGAAGUUCAAGGACCAAUACCGUGAACUUCAGAGGAAGAGAGGCCUGAAGACGGCCAAGUUCGCCGGAGGUGGAGAUGGCGAAGCGGUGAAGAGGCCGAGGGGCAAGACCAACUCCAAGGUUGACGACAUACGAUGUGAGGGACGAGAAGAAGCGGCAAAGCAAGGAGGGCAAAUGAAGCAAUACCUAGACCUUCAAAGGAAGAAGCUUGAGAUGGAGGAGGCGGCCAAGAGAAGGAAGAUCGGCAUGGAGGAGGCGGCCCGGCAGAGGCAGCUCGACAUGGAGGAGGCGGCCCGGCAAAGGCAGCUCGACAUCGAGGCCGAGAACGUCAAGGCCAGGCAAAGGCAGCUCGACAUCGAGGCCACCAAUGCUGCCACCAAAGCGAAGGAGGUGGUCCUUGCGAUCAUGAGCGUGGACUUGUCGAAGAUGAGCGAGAAGACGAGGGCCUGGCUGGCAUGGGUGCCGCCCGCCCGCUGGGCCGUUGGCUGUGUGCCGGCGAGAAAAACAUUCAUUUCGAAGGCCGGCUGUAUUGCCGGCGAGGACAACUAUUCAUUUUGGAGGCUGGCUGAUGCCGGCGAUAGACGUGAGCCUCCAAAUCCAAAGGUGGCUGUGGCUGUGGCUCACACACACACACAGAGAGAGACAAGAGACAGCGAGUCACAGACCGAGGGAGGGGGAGCUCAGACCAGGCCAGCGGGAAUCGCGCGCGCGGGCCGGGCGACGACUGAGGCGGAGAUCCCUUCCGACCGGCCGCCGCCGCCGCUCGUCGACACCGACCAACAGAGGUACGUACGCCGACGGCCGCUCCCCCUCCCCCCUCCCCCUCCAGUAAUCACGCCUCUGAAUUUAAUCACUGCGUUUUCCCUCAAGGGUGGUCUGUCUAUAACAGAGAAAUCUGGAGGUCACUUACUGAGAUUCGAGAUCACCAUUCAGAUGGGUCGACUAUUAACCAAGUUAAGCCUGCAGUGGCCGGCAACAAUCCGCAUGCAUGCCCAACAAGCAACAAACCUGAUAGCCAUGUUUCUGGGCCGGAGCUUGGGAGUCCACGGCACGGCACGGCACGGAGAGAUCUUGCCUGGAGGUGCCUUCAAAUUCCUCACUUCUGAGAUUGCGUGCCAUAACCCUCGAUCCCACGUCGCUUGCUUAAUUUCAUUGUCGCGGUGGGAAACCAGGCAGGCAGCGGGGCACGUCUCGCCGGACGCCGGUGUUGCGGUGCGCGUCGUCGUCGUCUCUGGCUAUAAAGUACCGGUCUCCCUCUCUCUCACACACACACGCAUCGUCGCGCAGGCACACAGACUAACAGACACACACCCGAGGGAGGGAGGGAGGGAGCUCGGAGCAGAGGGACCCGAUCCCGGCCGCCCGUCAGGCCAAGAGUUUCCUUCAUGUCAAGACCAUCAACGGAAUCGUAGUGCUCCCAAGGUCAGUGUCACGUCGGCAGGAAAGGAAGCCAGUUGUGGAGAAUUUGGCCGCCUUGUCGAUCGACCUCAACCUCUUUGGACGGGAGCUUCCUUUCCUUCUUCCUCAGAGCACCACCAAGAGCUUUGCCUGUCGUGGAGGCAGCCAACUGACACGUCGUCCUUGUCGCCGCCGGAACGAACGAGCGGACAGCCAGCACACACCGCUCACUGCCUCUCGUUUUCGUCCCGAUCCGUGCCUCUCGUUUUCGUCGGCGUCGCACUGUCACUGUUGCGUGCUUGCGCCUUAUCUCUGUCUGACUCCUUCCUUGUUCAACCCCACACCACGCACCCCACCCCGCCCCAAGAGAUCGAUCGGAAUCGGAGCAGUGUGGCCAGCUCUCUCCGCCACCGGUUUCAGCUCCUGCACAGCACAUGUUGGCCGUCCCCGUCCGUGGAUGCAGCCGGACACAUGAGCCGCCAUUGUUUCCUGACGGUCCUUCCCACGCGCAGCCAAAGCACCCGUCGUCUUUCUUUCUUUCUUUCUUUCUUUCUUUCUUUCUUUCUUUCUAGUCGUGGAAAAGUAGCUAGAGCUCGCGCGAGAUAUCUCACUUCUCCUUUGCCUGUCCAUGUUCAUCUUGCCCGACUCGUGUCAUUUUCCGAUGGACGCCACAGCGGCCUGAGCAGGUAUGGUAUGAGGCCUGACCACCUGAGCAUAUUGCUUCAGUUUGAGAGGCUCUCAAUCUGCAGUGCUCUCUCUAGUUCUGCAAAUCCCCCGUUGGAAUCCCGAAUCAGCAUCGGUUCUCCACUGGCUGGAACUCGAUUUGGGUCUAAAGCUGAGGCUGCCGCGUCUUAG
rnacentral:rRNA from 1 species